UGAGGAAUAUUGCGCAAUGGGGGAAACCCUGACGCAGCGAUGCCGCGUGGGUGAAGAAGGCCUUCGGGUCGUAAAGCCCUGUCGGGUGGGAAGAACAGUCUGGGAGUUAAUACCUCUCAGGUUUGACGGUACCACCGAAGGAAGCACCGGCUAACUCCGUGCCAGCAGCCGCGGUAAGACGGAGGGUGCGAGCGUUAUUCGGAAUCAUUGGGCGUAAAGGGUGUGCAGGCGGCUGGUCAAGUCAGAUGUGAAAGCCCAGGGCUUAACCCUGGAAGUGCAUUUGAAACUGGUCGGCUUGAGUUCGGGAGAGGGAAGCGGAAUUCCGGGUGUAGAGGUGAAAUUCGUAGAUAUCCGGAGGAACACCGGUGGCGAAGGCGGCUUCCUGGACCGAAACUGACGCUGAGACACGAAAGCGUGGGGAGCAAACAGG
rnacentral:rRNA from 1 species